rnacentral:misc_RNA from 1 species
GAUGAAGAACGCAGCGAAAUGCGAUAAGUAAUGUGAAUUGCAGAAUUCAGUGAAUCAUCGAAUCUUUGAACGCACAUUGCGCCCGCCAGCAUUCUGGCGGGCAUGCCUGUUCGAGCGUCAUUUCAACCCUCGAGCCCCCCCGGGGGCCUCGGUGUUGGGGGACGGCACACCAGCCGCCCCCGAAAUGCAGUGGCGACCCCGCCGCAGCCUCCCCUGCGUAGUAGCACACACCUCGCACCGGAGCGCGGAGGCGGUCACGCCGUAAAACGCCCAACUUCUUAGAGUUGACCUCGGAUCAGGUAGGAAUACCCGCUGAACUUAAGCAUAUCAAUAAGCGGAGGA